AAGAUUGUACUUCACAGGAUCAUUUUCUGUAGUACAUAUCGACAAAACACCCAUAGCCAAAGAAGACCCAAACAACCCACGAUGAUGAGUGGCAGUGGUUCUUCUUGAGCGUGAAGUAGGAUGGGGCUGCUCUCUUCUCGAGAGCUCGGCCUGCUUCCUUUGAUGAUCGCACCUUGUUGCAUCUUCGUGAUGCGGCAAGGAGGGAAGCGACCACAUUCAGAGUGGU
rnacentral:snoRNA from 1 species